CUCACUUUUCUCUCACUUUUCUCUUCCUCCUACUGUCUCCCGAAACCCUAACAGUUCCCUCACUUUUCUCUCACUUUUCCCUUUCUCCAUCAAAUUUUUCACUAUCUCUCUCGUCUAAAAAAAUAGCUCCUCCAUCUUCUACACAUUCAAAACAACAUCAUCCCUUCUCUCUCGUCAUCUUCAUCAACGUCAACUAUGGUUUUCUUCGUAAACAUCAAUUUUAUUUUCGAUUUCAUUAUUUUUGGCUAACAUUUUCGGUUUCAUUGUUGAUUGUUCUUUCAGUUUUGCAGUUGCUGAUCUUUCUCCAUCAAGAUAAUCUGCCACAAGAAGUGCCAAGCAAACAAAGACAAAUGAUUUCAGCACUUUGGAUAAUGGCCACUGAAGCAGAGGAUGACAAUGACAAUGAUGUGGAUUUGUUUGGUGAAGAGACCGAGGAAGAGAAGAAGGCAGUUGAGGAACGGGAAGUAGCCGUGAAAGCAUCUAGCAAAAAGAAAGAGAGUUUAAAGGUGGUGCGGUGCUUCAUUUUGAAAUCAUUAUUACUUAAAAUCGCUCAUCUGAUGGUUUCAGAAUCUAUUUUCAAUCUCUAACACGUGCCCUGGACAUGUAUAGAUUUUGUCUGUCCUUUAGCUUCAAGUAUUGAUUCGGUGGUCGACGUGGAAGGGAAGCGAUUUCACUUCUCAACAAAGUCAGGAGGGGAUUAGUAAAAGGUUGACGAGUUUUGUUGUAGUGGACAUACUGUCAGCAUUUCUAGGAAUAUUUUCAGGAUAUCAAAGUCAUGGUGUUGUUUGAUCUACUGCGACUGUAGUAGGAAUUGGUCUGGAAAAGGUUGGUACGCUGAUAAGAUGUCUGGCGUAGGGUGUAAUUGUGUCAUUCAAAAAAGCAAUGCAUUUUAGCAUUCAAGCGAUCUAAGGAUCUAGAAGUAUGGAAAUCGACUAAUGGAUUCUUCUUCAUCUUCUCAAACUGCUUUGCAAAUUCAUUCAAAAUGUUCUAAGAAGCAUUUGCCUUGAAAUAACAUAAAAAACAAGGAUCAUUCGAUCUUCCUCAAGAGUUCCAUUAGUAAGUUUAAAGUCUCAACAUCUAUUCUUGAUGAAUUUAUUGUUCCUUACCAUUACUGUUAUAGCCCUGCAGUUUGUGGUAGUACAUUGUUGUAAGUAAUUUUCUUUCAUUUGGUAGUACAUUGUUGUAAAGUCUCAAAUAUUGAAGUUAUAGCUCAUUCAUUCAUAUUGACACUAAUUGUUUUGCUCUUAAAGGUAGGUUUUCUUUGCACAUUCAAACUAAUUAUUUUUAUUAUUUUUAUCGUCAUUCGGAUUAUUUUGAUCUAUAAUAGUGUAAUAGGAUUAUUUUUAUUAUUGUGUUAUCCACUGGGAUUUGAUCUAUGUCUGCAAAAUAUAUCAAAUCCAUGAGCUGAAUGAUAUGCUCACUUUGUUAGCAAAGAGAAUUUGGGUUUAAUAAAUGGUAAAACCUAUUACAACUUGAAUCAUAUACAUAUGCUCAUAUAUCUCUCUUUCUAUUAUGUUCUUAACUGGAAGUUUGAUACUAUGCUGCAUGUAUUCUUUUAGCAGACUCCUCCUUUUUCACCAUGGCAAAUAUUAGUCCGGAAGUUGAAACCAAGAUGUCACAUGAAGCAAUUCUUCCUGUUUCAGCCUAUGUAAGCUGCAUUUCUAACUGUUCCCAUCUUUGAGGGACACAUUCUUUUGAAAAAGCUAAUAGAUGCAUUAGAAUCUUUGCGAGGUGGUUUUACAUGAAGAAAUAAAGACAAUGUGGACAAAGCUAUCUUAAUGGUUUUCUAUCAUAAAAAAAGAGUACAUUACUUUGUUCAAAGUUGGAAAUCAUAUUUCAUUUUUUAAUAGUUGGAAAAAGUUGAGUUGUCAAGAUUAUUUGCUGAGACUUCUUUUUUAUGCAUGUUAGUGCUUUGUUUGAUAAAAUUGCAUAACUUUAAAUUCAGUUUAAGAUAAACCUAAGGAGCUGAUUUUAAAAAAUGGAAGUCUACGAAAUAAUUACGGUUUACUGUUCAACCUGUCAAUUAAUUGAGAUUUACGUUUUUGUGUUUCUGACUGUAAUACAACACAUAACGUGCAUGGAUAGCAGUAAGUCAUGAUACCAUUCUAGCUUUGAUAAGUAAAAUCGUUUUCAUAAGUAAAAUCAUGAUUUGCAAUUACAAGAUUAAAUUACAUCUAUAGUAGAUGGGUUGAUAUUUAAACAGAACAACUUUAAUAUGCCUGCAAACUUAUGACCGAAUGAUUAUUUUUCCAAACUGUGCUUUUAAAUUCAAAAGAAACACGUGUUGCUUUGUGAAAAGUAAUUACUAACAUUUGGAUGCUAAGUGUUGUUUACUGUAAGGGCUUAUAGAAACCGUUGGUGGAAAGUCAAAGAGAUUGAUGGAAAUGCCUUUAAAGGUAUUGUUAGUGUUAGAUGUGAAUUAUUAGAAAA